AGCCGUGACCCGGGUUCGAACCUGGGGUUUUGCUGCCACAACGGAAUUUCCUAACCACUAGACGAUCACAAC